GUCCGGCUGACAAGCCUCAAAUAGGACGAAACACAUGUCCUGGAU
rnacentral:hammerhead_ribozyme from 1 species